GGUCUGGUAGUUCAGUUGGUUAGAAUGCCGCCCUGUCACGGCGGAGGUCGCGGGUUCGAGUCCCGUCCAGACCGCCA
rnacentral:tRNA from 59 species